GGCAGAGGUGCCGAGCGUUAGGCGGAAUCACUGGGCUUAAAGCGUGUGUAGGCGGAUCGUUAAGUACCUUGUGAAAUCCCACGGCUUAACCGUGGAACUGCUGGGUAUACUGGCGAUCUUGAGCCACCUAGGGGCAACCGGAACAAAUGGUGGAGCGGUGAAAUGCGUAGAUAUCAUUUGGAACGCCAAUGGUGAAAACAGGUUGCUGGGGGUGUGCUGACGCUGAGACACGAAAGCCAGGGGAGCGAACGGG
rnacentral:rRNA from 1 species